rnacentral:rRNA from 1 species
AGGCGUAAGAGCUCGUAGGCGGUUGUCGCGUCUGCUGUGAAGACCGGGGCUCAACUCCGGUUCUGCAGUGGGUACGGGCAGACUAGAGUGCAGUAGGGGAGACUGGAAUUCCUGGUGUAGCGGUGAAAUGCGCAGAUAUCAGGAGGAACACCGAUGGCGAAGGCAGGUCUCUGGGCUGUAACUGACGCUGAGGAGCGAAAGCAUGGGGAGCGAACAGGAUUAGAUACCCUGGUAGUCCAUGCCGUAAACGUUGGGCACUAGGUGUGGGGGACAUUCCACGUUUUCCGCGCCGUAGCUAACGCAUUAAGUGCCCCGCCUGGGGAGUACGGCCGCAAGGCUAAAACUCAAAGGAAUUGACGGGGGCCCGCACAAGCGGCGGAGCAUGCGGAUUAAUUCGAUGCAACGCGAAGAACCUUACCAAGGCUUGACAUGAACCGGUAAUACCUGGAAACAGGUGCCCCGCUUGCGGUCGGUUUACAGGUGGUGCAUGGUUGUCGUCAGCUCGUGUCGUGAGAUGUUGGGUUAAGUCCCGCAACGAGCGCAACCCUCGUUCUAUGUUGCCAGCGCGUUAUGGCGGGGACUCAUAGGAGACUGCCGGGGUCAACUCGGAGGAAGGUGGGGACGACGUCAAAUCAUCAUGCCCCCUUAUGUCUUGGGCUUCACGCAUGCUACAAUGGCCGGUACAAAGGGUUGCGAUACUGUGAGGUGGAGCUAAUCCCAAAAAAGCCGGUCUCAGUUCGGAUUGGGGGUCUGCAACUUCGACCCCCAUGAAGUCGGGAGUCGCUAGUAAUCGCAGAUCAGCAACGCUGCGGUGAAUACGUUCCCGGGCCUUUGUACACACCGCCGUCAAGUCACGAAAGUUGGGUAACCACCCGAAGCCGGUGGCCCUAACCCUUUGUGGGGGAGCCCGUCGAAGGUGGGACCGGGCGAUUGGACUUAAGUUCGUUACCAGGGUAACUAA